rnacentral:ribozyme from 15 species
AGCAAUUGUAAUUGUAGCAAAAGUAUGCUGAGAAACAAAGAAAAAUAGCAGUAACGAAAAAAGCGAUCGCAUUUUAAAAUUUUUGUUCCUCGCUUUCGCGUCGUAAGAAUUUUAUGUUCUUAUUAACUUGAAUUUUCCUUUUCCUUUCUGCUUACAGCCUAUUAAAAACAAAUUUGAUCAGGAGAAUGUCUUGCAAUUAUUGAGACUCCAAGGAUAGUGAUGUAAACUGAAUUCUAAAUGAAAUAGAGCUUGUAUUUACUCUGAAAUAGAAAAAA